GUCUUUUUUAUUUUUUUACCGUACACCUUUUACAUUUAUUGACAUUAUAAUAAAAAUCAUAAAAAUUUAUGAAUUACAAUUAAUAUAUAUCUUUAUUUUUAUUUCUUAUAUACAUGAUAAAUAUAUUUUUUAUUGGGGCCGGAUCGAUUUUACAUAUGGGAUGGAUCGACGUUGGGCCGGAUCGACUUGGGCCGGAUCUACGUGGGGCCAGAUCGACCCAAAAGCUUAUUCUUGCUGUGACACUUUCCUGUCGCAGAAAGGGAUCAAGGCAAGAAAUAAAAUAGCCUUUCAUGACUUCACAAAAAUAACAUAUUUUAUAUUUUUCCAGCACCAGCAAUAAUUUUAUCCCUCUAUACAGGUAUAAACACCAUAUAGAGGGUUUGUUCCCAACCGGAUAAAUAAAACUUAGAUAUGAUGUCUUCUCCUUGUACAUUUUUUGUACUUAGCUACAAAAGGACAGCAGGAGUCUACAUGCCAGUUUGUAGAAUUUGAAGCGUUUUACGUUUUUGUGGUUUUAUCAUAGAGUAUUGACCCUUUGACUGCCAUGGCAUUGAAAAACGUUUUACCUUUGACUGCUAAGAAUCGGCCUGGCUUCGAACUUUAUCAAACAGCGCCAUGGCAACCCUGACAACAAUUGAUAACGUCACGCUAUUCUGCAUGGUACCUGUAUAUGAUUGCUCGUGUGAUGACACCACAGUAUGUCUGCUUCGUUCAUUUAUCACUCUCAAGUGUCGAAUGUUUUUACUGUAUUUGUGUUUUUUUUUAUAUUUGAUCAGUCUUUUAAUUGGUGUUAAUUGCAAUUUAUUAGUAUUUGUAAAAACUGAUAGCCUCAUUGACUUUAAUGGUAUUCAGAAAAUCUGUGCCACAUGGCCAAUAUUUUGGCCUUAAAGUUAUUUCUCAAAAAUGCCACGGCCCAUUUUAAAUCGUUUGUGUUGUAUGAAAUAAACCAUAAUUAGUUAUGGUGACAACACCAGUGUUUAGUUUAAAAUAUUUAACGGUUUUACUUCGAUUGACAUCAGAAGAAGUGUGACGUCUUUUGCAUCACUUUUAAAUUCACGACAGGCUCCCGUUCUAGAACAAACUCUAUGUGUAAUAUGCUUUAUUAAACUCAAAUGUUCGGAUUUGUGUAUCAAAUUCCAUUGUCAAACUUUUGAAGAAGAAAAAUAAAAACAAUAAAAAAACUUCGGGCUUUGGAAAAGUUUUCUGAUUUUGUUCUACAUGCCUUUAGUUUGUAUAAUAUCAAACAUCGUCACAGCAAAUAGGUAUUUCGUCAAUUUCGGUAAAUGAUAGAGCGAGAAUAUAAAUUUAUUUGUGAAAAUUGCCACUGUGUGAAAUUAAGUUCCUACAAUUACAGACAGGCAAAUUUUCUUUGUCUUGUUUUACUUUUUAGUUGAUGAUAAAAUUGAAAAUGGAAAUGGGGAAUAUGUCAAAGAGACAAGAACCCGACCAAAUAUGUUAAAGGAUGGCUUCUUAAAGUCAAGUGGCAAAUAAAUAUGCAUAUAUUAAGGACGUGAACAUGCCACUUCUUCAUUUACUGUGGAUUCAUUUAUUUUCGUGGGUAUCAAUUUUCGUGGAUAGAGAAAAAAAGACGUUUCGUGGUAUACGUAAAUUCGUGGAUCGCUGAUUACAACCAAAACAAUUAGAUACGUAAUUCGUGGAUUUCUUUUUGAUUUAGGAGAUUAUAUAACAUCCUUGGUUCGAUCAAUAAUAAAACAAAACAAAAAAGAAGGAAUUCAUUGAAAAAGUUUUGAGUUGUCAAAAUCCUCGCUUAAUUGGUCAUUCUAGGUUAAAGUGUUCAUUGAUAACUUCGAUUACAAUAAUGGGCAGAGACAACUAAUAGUGUUUCCUGCAGCUUUUAAAAAGGGCAGGGUAAUUGUUAGCUCAGAGGGCACAUUAAGCGCGAUGGACAACAAUUUUAGGGCACUUACUUAACAUAAACAGGCAAUUUCUAUAAAAUGGAUUCAUUUAAAACAUACUAGUUUAAUACUAUAAAAAGGACAUAUACAUCUGUAAUCAAUCAUUAAAACAAAUUGUUAAACAAGAAAAAGUGUGUAAAACAUAUAUAUAUGAAAUAUUUAAAACAAUAAACACAAUUAAAAACAAAAUCAGUUCUUUAAAAACAAGAAAGCACUAUGUCAUAUACAUGUAUAUAAAAAUAUUGCUUUGGUCAUAUCAAUUGUCAUUGACAAAUCCUCCUUUUUUUCCUUAAAAACAGGUUGACACAUUCCCUGAUAUCCAGGGUCAUUUUUAGUAACCAAAAUUUAUUAAAUUACAAAAAAAAAUAACUUUACAAAUUAACCCCUUCCCCUCUACACCCUUUUCCAAAUUAAAUUAAUAUAGAUACAACAAGUUUUACUACUUUCAUGGCACUACCAUAUCAG
rnacentral:lncRNA from 1 species